rnacentral:lncRNA from 1 species
GCGGUCCCCGGGCGCUGCCACGACCUUGGGAAGGAAGAGCGCGGCGCUCGCGCUCUCUUACUCCCUCUUUUCUUUCGCCUUUUCCUUUUUCUUUCCGAACUUCUCUGCCCCCGUGAGAUGACCCUGCCUGCUCUUCCCACCUUUCCUAGAAGAACUUAUCGUCUGCGCUCGAGUUCCUAAUCAGGUGGCAGCUGCUCUGCCCGCACUCCGGUCCCAUCCACCCACCGCCCGGGAUAAGGCCUUGGGGAAACGCGGCUUCUCGUCCGGGCUGCUCUGUGUGACCUUGAUAAUCAGCGAACCGCUUGACGAAUGUCGCGGGAAGGUAUGGAGAGACAGCCAGGAUUGUUCUCGCAGUGGCGUCUGGGUAAUACUACAUUGCCAGGUGACCCCUGAGGGACAGACUCGCCCCCGGUUGAGGACCACUGAUACAGAGUGCCUGACACAGAGCUGGUGCACAGUCUGUGCUGAAUGAUGCUAGCCCCUUCCCAGCUGUGCCAAGAAAGGUUCGCUGCGACAUCAGAGACUCGUUUCACACACACAGGGCUCCCAGGCGUCACCCUGGAAUCAGCCCCCCCUACCGGAAAGACUGUCCAGCAUCUCCGUGUUGUGGACGGAGCCCACCCCCAGCCCACGCCCAUCUCUUCCACAUUCUGUCCCUCCCUCACAUUCCUGGGGUCUUUCUCCCCCGCCAUCCCUUCCCCAAUGAGAGAUGAUACGACUUUUCAUAAAUUCCUUAGGCUCUCGGUGCCUGGCUUUCCUCAUCUGUGGGCUGGGAGAGCACCAGGACCCACGUCACAAGGCUGUCGCAGAGAUGCCCAAGUUGGCAUAUGGGAAGUGCCCAGGCAGGGCUGGCAUUUAUUUAUUCAAUUCAUGGAUUGACAGCUGAAUGCAUUCAGAGGCAUUUGGCUGCAAGGAGGAGAAGAAUGGGCUGCUGAUGGUUCAAACAUAAGGACGUGGUUUAUUUCACAAGAGGUCCAGGGGACGUUGGCUCCUCUGGCUGGUUCAGGACUUGGUGACAUCCUCAAGGACCAAGGCGCCUUGACCCUUCUGUCCUCAUCAGAGUGGCUCUUCUAAGGUUUGGGGCCUCAGAGUCACAAGAUGGUUGCCAUGACAGCCAUGUCACCUGCUGACACAACAACUCCAAAACAGGAAAGAAAAGAAGAGGUCAAAGGGGGCCCUCUCUGAGCCUCUCUCUUACCAGAGAGAGAGAACUUUCCCAAAGCCCCCGAGAGGCAGACUUCCCCUUACACCUCACAGGCCCGGCUGGUCACGUGGCCGCCCUUGAAUAGUCCCUGAACACAAGCAGGGUUGUCACCGUCAACUUGGAACAGCCCUGCUCUAUCUCCUGGGACACGGCUGCCUGAACAACUUGGGGUUCUGUUAUUAAGAGAGAAGCGUCUGCCACAAGCACCUACUAUGUGCUGGGCCCUGGGUGAGGUUCUGGGACUGCAGAAGUGAACAAGACCAGCACAUUCAGGCCCUCACGGAGCUGAGGUUAUUCCAGCCAAGGGGACAAACAAUGAUGAAUUAAACAAAGAAGGACAGCAAGUUCCUUCCAUCAUUCACUCAACGAGUGUUUAUUGAGGGCCUACUAUGUGCCAGGCUGGGAUACAGGGAUGAACACAACAGGCGAGGUUCCUGCCCUCCUGGUGCUUCCAGUCCAGAGCAAGGGGAGGAGGACAAUAACCAAAUUAACAAUCAAUCAAUCAAGGAGAUCCUUUCACCCUCUCCAGAGUUGGUGGGUGGCACCUCCAGGCCUCUGUCUCAGUCACUGCCUACUCCAGGUCGCAUGACUCAGGCAGGGAGCUCAGCACUGUGUGAUCAAUGGGGACUCCCUUGGUCCACGACCUGGCUGCUUCCCAGCUAAUCCUGGCACAGAGCGACUCACUGAGCAAAACAUGACUAAGCAAUCCCAAGCUGGGGGAGCUCCCAUCACUGCUGCAGCCUCGACCUCUCCUCCCUCCUUCCCAUCACCUCCUCCCACACCCUCCAGGGUCUCCAGCAGGGCGCCCUGACAUCCCCGUCAGUCUCCAAGGCAGGGCCUGAAAUAGGCUAUCGCUG